CGGUGAAUACGUUCCCGGGUCUUGUACANACCGCCCGUCACACCACGAAAGCCCGUUGCAACAGAAGUCCCAGGUUUCCUGGGCCGAAGUUGUGACUGGUGAUUGGGGUG
rnacentral:rRNA from 1 species